rnacentral:rRNA from 1 species
UACGUAGGGCGCGAGCGUUGUCCGGAAUUAUUGGGCGUAAAGCGUCCGCAGGUGGCACUUCAAGUCUGCUGUCAAAGACCGGGGCUUAACCCUGGAAAGGCAGUGGAAACUGAAGCGCUAGAGUGUGGCAGGGGUAGAGGGAAUUCCCGGUGUAGCGGUGAAAUGCGUAGAGAUCGGGAAGAACAUCGGUGGCGAAAGCGCUCUACUGGGCCAUAACUGACACUCAGGGACGAAAGCUAGGGGAGCGAAUGGG